rnacentral:rRNA from 1 species
AUUGAACGCUGGCGGCAGGCCUAACACAUGCAAGUCGAACGGUAGCACAGAGGAGCUUGCUCCUUGGGUGACGAGUGGCGGACGGGUGAGUAAUGUCUGGGAAACUGCCCGAUGGAGGGGGAUAACUACUGGAAACGGUAGCUAAUACCGCAUAACGUCGCAAGACCAAAGAGGGGGACCUUCGGGCCUCUUGCCAUCGGAUGUGCCCAGAUGGGAUUAGCUAGUAGGUGGGGUAACGGCUCACCUAGGCGACGAUCCCUAGCUGGCCUGAGAGGAUGACCAGCCCCCAUAGAACUGAGACACGUUCCAGACUCCUACGGGAGGCAGCAGUGGGGAAUAUUGCACAAUGGGCGCAAGACUGAUGCAGCCGUGCCGUGUGUAUGAAGAAGGCCUUCGGGUUGUAAAGCCCUUUCGGUAGGGAAGAAAUCUCUUGCUCUAACAAAGCAGGAGUUUGACUUAACCUACAUAAGAAGCACCGGCUAACUCUGUGCCAGCAGCCGCCGUAA